rnacentral:tRNA from 1 species
GAGCGGAUAGUUUAACGGCAAAAUACCAAAACUUCCUUUAUUCACCAACUUACCCUCACGGGUCGCCGAAAUUAAGGUUAUCGCCUUUUAAGCGGGAGAUAGGGGUUCGAAUCCCCUUCCGUUCACCA